GACGAACGCUGGCGGCGUGCUUAACACAUGCAAGUCGAACGGAAAGGCCCUGCUUUUGUGGGGUGCUCGAGUGGUGAACGGGUGAGUAACACGUGAGUAACCUGCCCUUGACUUUGGGAUAACUUCAGGAAACUGGGGCUAAUACCGGAUAGGAGCUCCUGCUGCAUGGUGGGGGUUGGAAAGUUUCGGCGGUUGGGGAUGGACUCGCGGCUUAUCAGCUUGUUGGUGGGGUAGUGGCUUACCAAGGCUUUGACGGGUAGCCGGCCUGGGAGGGUGACCGGCCACAUUGGGACUGAGAUACGGCCCAGACUCCUACGGGAGGCAGCAGUGGGGAAUAUUGCACAAUGGGCGGAAGCCUGAUGCAGCAACGCCGCGUGCGGGAUGACGGCCUUCGGGUUGUAAACCGCUUUCGCCUGUGACGAAGCGUGAGUGACGGUAAUGGGUAAAGAAGCACCGGCUAACUACGUG
rnacentral:rRNA from 1 species